rnacentral:misc_RNA from 1 species
GAUCAUUACUGUGAUUUACUACUACMCUGCGUGAGCGGAACGAAAACAACAACACCUAAAAUGUGGAAUAUAGCAUAUAGUCGACAAGAGAAAUCUACGAAAAAACAAACAAAACUUUCAACAACGGAUCUCUUGGUUCUCGCAUCGAUGAAGAGCGCAGCGAAAUGCGAUACCUAGUGUGAAUUGCAGCCAUCGUGAAUCAUCGAGUUCUUGAACGCACAUUGCGCCCCUCGGCAUUCCGGGGGGCAUGCCUGUUUGAGCGUCGUUUCCAUCUUGCGCGUGCGCAGAGUUGGGGGAGCGGAGCGGACGACGUGUAAAGAGCGUCGGAGCUGCGACUCGCCUGAAAGGGAGCGAAGCUGGCCGAGCGAACUAGACUUUUUUUCAGGGACGCUUGGCGGCCGAGAGCGAGUGUUGCGAGACAACAAAAAGCUCGACCUCAAAUCAGG